AACGAACGCUGGCGGCAUGCCUAACACAUGCAAGUCGAACGAGACCUUCGGGUCUAGUGGCGCACGGGUGCGUAACGCGUGGGAACCUGCCCUUAGGUUCGGAAUAACCCCCCGAAAGGGGUGCUAAUACCGGAUAAUGUCUUCGGACCAAAGAUUUAUCGCCUUCGGAUGGGCCCGCGUUGGAUUAGCUAGUUGGUAGGGUAAAAGCCUACCAAGGCGACGAUCCAUAGCUGGUCUGAGAGGAUGAUCAGCCACACUGGGACUGAGACACGGCCCAGACUCCUACGGGAGGCAGCAGUGGGGAAUAUUGGACAAUGGGCGAAAGCCUGAUCCAGCAAUGCCGCGUGAGUGAUGAAGGCCUUAGGGUUGUAAAGCUCUUUUACCCGGGAUGAUAAUGACAGUACCGGGAGAAUAAGCUCCGGCUAACUCCGUG
rnacentral:rRNA from 1 species